rnacentral:rRNA from 1 species
UCGCUCUUCAACGAGGAAUCCCUAGUAAGCGUGAGUCAUCAGCUCACGUUGAUUACGUCCCUGCCCUUUGUACACACCGCCCGUCGCUACUACCGAUUGAAUGGCUUAGUGAGACUCUCGGAUCGGGUAUUUGGAACCGGCAACGGUCCCUUUCAUCUGAGAAGUUUAUCAAACUUGGUCAUUUAGAGGAAGUAAAAGUCGUAACAAGGUUUCCGUAGGUGAACCUGCGGAAGGAUCAUUAGAAAUUUUUAUGUAUUCAAAAAUUUUUCCAAUCUUUUUAUUUAUUUAUUUAUAUUAUAUAUGAUAAUCAUGAGACAACUUUCAACAACGGAUCUCUUGGCUCUUGCAUCGAUGAAGAACGCAGCGAAAUGCGAUAAGUAAUGUGAAUUGCAGAAUUCCGUGAAUCAUCAAAUCUUUGAACGCAAAUUGCACUCUUUGGUAUUCCGAAGAGUAUGCUUGUUUGAGGGUUGUUCCAAUAAAAUCGUUUUUUUUUAAAAAACGGAUCUGAGUUUUUCAAGGUUUUUAUGAUUUUGAUAACUUUAAAUUUAUCUUAACGAUAUCUUUGGUAUGAUAUUGGAAAUGGUUAUAUUCUUACUUCUUGUGAGUUUCAUUAACAAUCGAUUAUCUGUCGUUACGUCGUAUCAUUGGUCUAAUCCUUUCGAUUGGGUCACAUGAUACAAAAUUUCUUUCAACACCUCAAGUCAAGUAAGAAUACCCGCUGAACUUAAGCAUAUCAAUAAGCGGAGGAAAAGAAACUAACAAGGAUUCCCUUAGUAACGGCGAGUGAAGUGGGAAGAGCUCAAUUUAAAUCUCCGAGGUUUCUUGGCGAGUUGUAAUUGGAGAGGGUGUUUGACAUCGGAUUAAUUUAAUCC